rnacentral:rRNA from 1 species
CCCGGCGAAAGUCGGAUUAACACCGCAUGACAUUAUUGAUGUGGCAUCACAUUAUAAUCAAAUAUUUAUAGGACAGAGAUGGGCUCGCGUGACAUUAGCUAGUUGGAGAGGUAACGGCUCACCAAGGCAACGAUGUCUAGGGGCUCUGAGAGGAGAAUCCCCCACACUGGUACUGAGACACGGACCAGACUCCUACGGGAGGCAGCAGUAAGGAAUAUUGGUCAAUGGAGGGAACUCUGAACCAGCCAUGCCGCGUGCAGGAUGACUGCCCUAUGGGUUGUAAACUGCUUUUGUCGGGGAAUAAACCUACGUUUGUAAACGUAGCUGAAUGUACCCGAAGAAUAAGGAUCGGCUAACUCCGUGCCAGCAGCCGCGGUAAUACGGAGGAUCCAAGCGUUAUCCGGAUUUAUUGGGUUUAAAGGGUGCGUAGGCGGUUCUUUAAGUCAGAGGUGAAAGACGGCAGCUUAACUGUCGCAGUGCCUUUGAUACUGAAGAACUUGAAUUAGGUUGAGGAAUGCGGAAUGAGACAAGUAGCGGUGAAAUGCAUAGAUAUGUCUCAGAACCCCGAUUGCGAAGGCAGCAUUCCAAGCCUUUAUUGACGCUGAUGCACGAAAGCGUGGGGAUCGAACAGGAUUAGAUACCCUGGUAGUCCACGCCCUAAACGAUGAUAACUCGAUGUUGGCGAUAGACAGUCAGCGUCCCAGCGAAAGCGUUAAGUUAUCCACCUGGGGAGUACGCCCGCAAGGGUGAAACUCAAAGGAAUUGACGGGGGCCCGCACAAGCGGAGGAGCAUGUGGUUUAAUUCGAUGAUACGCGAGGAACCUUACCCGGGCUUGAAAGUUAGUGAAUGAUCCAGAGACGGAUCAGUCCUUCGGGACACGAAACUAGGUGCUGCAUGGCUGUCGUCAGCUCGUGCCGUGAGGUGUUGGGUUAAGUCCCGCAACGAGCGCAACCCCUAUGUUUAGUUGCCAGCAUGUAAUGAUGGGGACUCUAAACAGACUGCCUGCGCAAGCAGAGAGGAAGGUGGGGACGACGUCAAGUCAUCAUGGCCCUUACGUCCGGGGCUACACACGUGCUACAAUGGUCGGUACAGCGGGCAGCUACACAGUAAUGUGAUGCCAAUCUCUGAAAGCCGA